rnacentral:lncRNA from 1 species
CGCGGGGCGCCUGCGCGAGGCCGGGGCGGGGGGCCGGUGACGCGUUGCGGUGCGGGCAGGUUCCUGCCGCCGCUCGCACGAAGGCGGCGGGGGCGCAGCGCGGAGCCGCCGCCCCGGCGCGGCACGGUGCCCCCGCCUGAGCAUCGUGGGGUGAGGGGCACCCUCCGGCCGCAGCGCCCGUCCGUCGCGGGGCCUGCGGGGCGCGCAUCGCCCUUGGCAGCGCGGGCCGCGCCGCAGCGGGGCGAGGGCCGGGCGGGGCGAGGCGAGGCGCCCGCGGGGAGGGGCCGGGGCCGGGGCGGGGCUCCCCCUUGCCGGCUCCCCCGUGCCGGGCCGUGGGCCCGUCGCCGCCGGGAAGCGGUGGGCGCGCUCUUGCACGGCAGCUCUCCCGGGAGCCGCUCUCCGGCAGCCGCGCCCUGCGUGCGCCCACCUCACCUGCGGAUGCGGUUGCGGACCCUACGGUAGCUUUCAGUGUGCUUUCUACUGCUGUGUAUAAUGAUGGGUGACAGGAUGCUGAUGAUGGGAUAGCCCCACCUUCUGGUUAAUCCGUCAGUGAAAUCAUACUUGGACCUACGAGUUUUUCUGGAAAUUACACCACAUAAUGUGCAUUGUGAGUGCAAGUGCAAGGUUGUGUUGGAAUAUCUUUUUUUUAUGUUUUGGGCUGGGCAGUGGCAAGAUAAUCUCCUUUUCUGAAGACCUUCCUCUUUAACAUCAAGAUAAUUUUAUCACGUGCCCCUGUUCCAGCAGAACAAGUUUUUAUUAUUAGUUUCUGAUGUCUCAGUUCACUACUGUCAUUUUUUUUUACGCCAGCAUAAAUUAAAGGAAGUACAUUUUUUGAAAGCAUCACAAAACUAGGUUCCUUGGUUUGUUUUUUUUUCAAAAAGGGAGGACACGAUCCCAAACCAAGGAGUAAUCCUAGUGUGUCGAGUGAUAUCUGAUCUAUGUUUGUGUGAAGUGAUACAUCAUCUCAGGCUUAGCUUUCAGCAGGUUUUGGAGAUGGCAGUGUUCCCACUUAAGUUUUCAUAUUCAAGAAAUUCAGAGAUUGUCUUCCAAAUGGAAGCUAUUGAGCUUGAAAAAUGUUCAGGUGUCUUGAUAGUAGGUGGUACACACAAUCAGCGGUUUUAUAUUAGUUAGCUUACUGUUGCUGGGAGUGACUUCCCUGAAAUUAUGCGUGUGAAGCUACAGUUAGAGAGGAAAGACCUGGGAGAAGGCUCCCUGAAGCCCUCUUGGCUUACAGGAAGAGGUUGCUAUUUCACCUCAUGUUUAGGUUUUAGUCUGGGGAAGACAUUUCAGCUUGUCACUCAACAACUUGUCAGCAAUGUAUCUUAAGAUUAGAGACUUUGCAGUCUUUAAGAUUCAUGGUGAUACUCUGCUGGACUUAUUUGGGAACCACCUGUUUUUGGCGCCUAACAUGUUACUUGAAACUUCUUGAGUUCUAGUAUCUGCAAGCUGCUUGCUCUUAGGAGAUUGUUCCUGUGCUAUGGAUUGUUAAUGUCCAAAGAAGCGGAUGCUCAAGUCACUCUGGCCCUGGAGUCUAACUGCAGUAAUUGAAGUGUUUAAACUCCUUAAACAACUUAGAGGGGAAGUCAGAUUUCUUGGAAUGUGUGUGAGAGUGCUAAACAAGGCAGCUGGUUGUAUGAGUGCUUAGGAGGGAUUUGUAAUGACACUGUAUCUCUGGGUAUGUUUUCAAGCCCUGCCACUAUCUACAGCUUAACUCUCCAAUAUCCUGUGUUAAGAGUCAAGGAGAUUAUGAGCUGUUCAGUGUGUGUCCUGGAUACACGGACAGGUCAGCAUGGUUUACAUUUGGAAAUAUAGUUCCCUAACAGUUAGACAUAAAAAUACUGGAAGUGUGUGUGUGUGUGAGCACCCAAACAUCCUUCCUUUCUUACGCAACAGCUGCAGAAGUUACAGUCCUGAAACUGUCAUCCUAAAACUGUAAUGCAUUAGAAGGCAUGCAUUAAUUUUCACUAUAUCUUUAAAAAAACUUACAAUUUGUGAGAAGCAGGAUGUCUAGGAUUUUGUGUACUGGAGGUAGGUAAUACUGUUCUAAUUGCUUCAAGUAUAAGUCAUAGGCUAAAUGGUACAAAUCAAGGUUUUGAAAGUGAGACUGGUUCCUGAGAGUUUUGUGGAUGUGAGAACACUGUGUUCCUGCAUACUAAUGAGGUUGAAGGGCCGGAAGUAUAUUUGACUAGAUAAAUGUGGAACAUGGAGCCACAGGUAUUUUUUUCUUUUUUCUUUUCUUUUUUUUUUCUUUUCUUUUUUUCUUCUGGAUUAAAACCAGGCUUGAGGGAUUGCUUUAACUCAUCUGGUGAAUUAGCAAAUUUAGAUGCUUGGGUUGAUUUCUUUAAAGAUUGACCUUAGCCAUCAAAACAGUGUAAACCAAAGGAUCAGUCACUGGGUUAGGUGCUGGAAAGCGCCUCUAACAUUCAGCAGUGUAUCAAUGAAGCAUUUCCAAGAGCUGAGGAGAGUUACUGGGUUUCCAGUUCUUUUUCGGUUUUUGGUGUAGGGAAAUGCUUAGUUUCUGCUAUGAUUGUCCUUUCCCUCGUGGCUGUUUUUAUUGCUCCCCUUCUCCCUCCCUGUGCCAAUCAUGUUCUGCCUGAUGAAAGGGUUAUGUUAGCUGGGCAAGAAGUAGCUUUUGCAGUAUUUCUGUCAACUUAAAUCAUGCAAGGUUUGAAUGUGAUACUCUGGGAGCCGGGUGUGACGAUUUUGUCAUGUCUUGAGGAGCAACCUUAUGCUUGCCAUGCUAGUAACUUGCCAGGGGCUUCUUCCAGGCAAGAAAUGAAGUACUGUUUUCUUAUUUUGCUCUUUUCCUGAUAAAUGCUUCUUUUUCUUUCUUUUAAAGGGAAUUGCUAUUAGAUAUUUACAGCUUCUUUUGGCUACGUGUAUCAGACUGUGUUUUUACAGUUAAGUGGACUGGUGGUAAUUGACUGCAUGACAUAGUUGCCAAGCUGCUGUACAGGGCUUUGCUGCUUCAGUCUUCCGUGAAGCUUUAUGUAUGUAAUUUUGAAUGUCUGAUUAUAUACUGGAGUUUAUUUAGUCACAUCAAAAAGUCAGCACUUUGCUAUAAUGCAGCAAUGGGUAAACUAAUCAGCUGAUAUUUUUUGUUUCCUAUAUGAAUAUUGAUAGCAAAGUACAAGGAAAAGGCAGUAGCUGAUUUUCAGAAGUAUUUUUUUCUUUGACUAGUAAGGGUUGUCAGCCUUUUUUUUUUUUCUUUUUUUUUUUUUUUUUUUUUUUUUUUUUUUUUUUUUUUUUUUUUUUUUUUUUUGUGGUUGGNUCAUUAUUGGUUAGUUGCCUAAAUAUCAAGUCCGCCCCUAGUUUCUCUUCUGUAGUUAUGUGUUCCCACCUGCAACAUUCUUUUCCCACCGCAGUCUUCCUGUUAUUUUGUAACUUUUGCUUUACUUCAGAUAAGCUGAGAGCGAUGUGCAUUUUUGUCCAGCCAGCUGGACUAUGUCUAUGUGAACUUUUUCAGCUAGCCAGUUAUCCACAGACUCUUUUCCACCAAAAACUUGAUACUUAGAGGAGUUGGUUAGCUUUACUUGUUAAAUGAAGGGUUAUUUUCUGCCAUUUCCACAUGAAAUCUUACUGUUUUUGAUGACAAUAAAAGCUUUUUGUACUGCUGCAUAUAAAAAUAUUAGGAAGAGAUAACUGUUCAGUGUGUACUCAAAGCCAUUCUGUCCUAAUUCACAGUUUAAUUUAAUUUAGGAAACAGCUGGCCCUGAACAUUUUUUGUCUCUGGACUAUUGACUAAGACUUUAAUUCCUAUGAGACUUUCACAAAGUAAGAUUGAGGAUGGGGUGGAAAGUCUAUGUUUUUGUUUCCCAGUGCUUGUAGAAGAAGGUUCAGGAACUAGUCUAGGGAUAGGCAACUUCAGAAAACAAAUUUUCCCUGCCACAUUAGUUACAACUCUUUAUGUAUAUAGGUUUUGUUUACUAGAUUGUGGUUGAAUACAGUGUAGGAUUUGCCAACCUGAAACUUAGUUGUGAAGCUUGAAGGGUUUCUGCAGGUUUUCAAUCACUAGAGUUUUAAGUUGGAAUAUAGAUAACCAAAACUUUUAUGUAUUGUACUGUGCGUUGAGCUGACAGCUCCAAAAAAAGGAUACAAAGUGGUUUGUACAAAUAACUGUAGCAUCUCAUAGUCUGUGAGAGUUGUAAUCUAGCAUUAGGCCUCAUGUUUUUAGUAAGGAAAUUGUUCACAUCCAGUAACUUUGCUAGUUUGUACGGCUUUAAAAUAGCAGAGUGUUCUGUCAAAAAAGCAGUAUUUAAAAAAACCCCGAGACAACCUUGUGGAAGUUGUCACCCAGGGUACUGAACUGGGAACAAAGCACCAUGUGUGAAUGAACAGGUGGCCAGAGGGGUCAUUUAAGGUAUGACUUUAAAACCCUUUUCAAAGGGCCAGUCCUUCCUGUGGUACAAGAGGGUGAGAUGAUGGAGGCAGCACCGCUGUAUUAACAGUAGUGGCCAGUGCUUGCUGCUGCCAAAGGAAGAGCACUGUCCUUCUUUUCUUGUAUAAUCUCAAGUAACAUACUGCAGUUUUCCAUAUUGUGUAGGGCUAUAUGUGGGGACUUCCCAUAUUUAGGAUGCUGGUUAUUAUGGUGUUGGCCAGCUCUAGCAACAUUCUUGUAGUUUGCCUUUUUGUCACAUGUUCAAAAUUUAGGAUGAGCAGCAACACAGGGUCUAUUCCUACAAGUGUAAACUUACUUAGGUAAAUAGUCUGUUCCUGCAAACAAUUUAACUCUAUGUUUAUGUCCUGGUUUUGACUGGGAUAGUUAUUUUUUUCUUCUCAGUAGCUGGUACAAUGCUAUUUGGCUUUAGAAGAGAAUAAUGUUAAUAACACACUGAUGUUUUUAGUUGUUGCUAAGGAAUGUUUAUACAAAGUCAAUGACUUUUCUGUUUCUUAGGCUUUGCCAACGAGAAGACUGGAGGGGCACAAGAAAUUGGGAGGGGAUACAACUGGGUCAGCUGACCCAAACUGGCCAGAGAGAUAACUCUGUACCAUAGGGCAUCAUGCCCAGUAUAUAAACUAGGCAGGAGUUGGACAGGACCUGCCAAUUGCUGCUGGGGGACUUGAU